rnacentral:tRNA from 1 species
GGGCGAGUGGCGGAACGGCAGACGCGCACGGUUCAGGUCCGUGUGCCCGAGAGGGUGUGAGGGUUCAAAUCCCUCCUCGCCCA